GGCAAAUUUGACACGGGACACACCAUAGCAGAGCUUGUUUCCUUUCAGUGAUCAGCUAUAAAGCAUUUGAAGACUCAACUGACUUGGGCAACGACCUACGUGGCCCGUCUGGAGAAUGAUGCUGAGAGGGACAUGUAUUUCCCUGGAAACUGCCUGGUGGAGCAUGUUUAGGAACCGCAUUCCUCUCACUCCUAGGAUGGAGCGAGCUGCUGCUGUGCUUUCCCCGACGUCUGUUCCAGUCGGCCAGCCAGCCACCCACCCACGCAGAAAUAUGGCUGCAAAGAAUGUCUGGCUUCAGGUUCAACUUGAUCACUGUCCCAUGCUUGCGAGUGCAACAGCUGCUCUUGGAUGGCUACCAGGACCUGUUAGACUCACAGCCUGACCCCGCAGAUUCCAAC
rnacentral:lncRNA from 1 species